UUGCAUGUUGGGAACUCUUAUCCUGCUCCUCAUUUUGUUGGGAGUAGGACUGUAUGUACCUACAGCAUGCUGUAUCAAAGGGACUUUCAGGACUCCUGACCCUGAGGAGUAUAUAACAAUAAAAAUAGUUUAUUUUUCCUACAUUA
rnacentral:snoRNA from 1 species